ACKGCUCAGUAACACGUGGCUAACCUGCUCUCGAGACGGAGACACCCCGGGAAACUGGGGCUGACACCCGAUAGGUGAUUAGCUCUGGAAUGAUUUCUUACCUAAUAGAUGAUGUAACUAUGCUUCUGGUCUCCCCUCAAAAAGGGGGUGCGGACGAUCCAGGAUGUGGUGAAGGAACCGGUUCCCCAGCCUAUUACCGGGAGCGGGCCGGGGUGCGGGAAGCCCGAAAAGGACACUGGAAACAAGGGCCCAGGCCUAACGGGGGGCACAAUCCCGCCAACUUUUGCAUAACCCAAAAUGGGACCGGGCUAAUCCCAAUGGCCGCCCGUUGAGAAGGGUUUUUCCCUAUCUAAAAACGUGGGAGAAUUAAGGAAAGGGAAGUCUUGGGGCCACCCGCCCGGGAAUUCCCACUCCUCCAAUGGGGGGGAAGGUUAUUGGGGCCUAAACAUUCCUAACUUGGCCAACCCAUCCCCUGGUAAACCCCACCAAUUAAUUCUUGGAAUUGCGGGGAAUCCGGUUCGCUAAGGGACCAAAGAAGGCGAACGGAAUCUCCGGGGAAGGGUGAAUUCUACUAUUCCCGGAAACCCACCAUGGCCAAGGUUGUCUGUUAACCAACCCAACGGAAGACUAAGCUUGGAACCAACGGAUAAUUACCGUAAGUCCAUUGUACCAAUGCAGUUAGGGUUGACCGCCACUCCUCUCUAGGCAAGAACUGUAACUUGCCUGGAAACCAUCCCAGAUGACUUAGAGAUUGCCGGAACAUCUCUCUAGAUAUCCGGUACCAAUCU
rnacentral:rRNA from 1 species